rnacentral:sRNA from 1 species
UGUCAAUCAAAGCCACCAUGAAGUGAGUUGGGAGAGGACUAGGGCCAGGUUAACCUCUUUCUUUCAAAACUUUAUCUCUAGAAAUGAAAAAAAAUUCUUCUCGAUAAAUAAUCUUCACUCAAGUUCAACCGAAACCUCACAUUUCCCAACUACCACUAUCUUCGAUGGAGCUCAAUAGCAGCACACAGUGAUACAGGCGGUGGUGAUUGAUGACGAUCGAGUGGUAGAAGAGGAGAUUGUUUGCCUUCUGUUCAUCAAUCAACAACACCAAUUCUUUGUUUCACUGCUGCUGUUUUGUGGUUUGGGAGUGUUGUGUUAUACAAUGACAAUUGUGGGAGCUAUUUUCUUCUACAUGUGUGAAGUCAGUUACCGAAACGGAAGAUGUCUUCAAAACUUGACGGAAAACUUGAAGACUGUUUAUUGAGUUCUUGUGAAACUCUGAAAAUCAGUGAACAAUAUCAGGAUCGGAG